UCUCCCGUAACCGCCAGCGUGCAGGAGACGGGAGGCGGCGCGGCGCACGGCCAUGGUGUGGGGCGCGUCGCAGAGCAGGCGGACGGGUGCGGGGCGCGUCGGGCUGGCACGACCAGGGGCCACGACUCUCCUUGGACCGAGGAUCCGGGCCGUGGCCCUUGCUGACGGAGCCACGGACGCCGGUGGAGGGCGGGUCGACGCGACCACGUAGCCGCCGUCGUGGGCUCUGCCACGCCGCGAUGAUGCAGGCUGCGGCCGCACAAUCAUCUUCAUACCUCCGCGGUCCAACGAUAGGACAGAUACGCACGACGACGAAUGUCCUUGUGGAGAAGAAGUAAGGCGUCGUACAUAUUCUUCUCCGUCAGUUUCUCCGUGAUUUGCUUCGUGGCUUCCUGUUCGUGAUUCAGUUCUUCUUCCACUUUUGAUUUUCCUCUCAUGGAGUUCACUGGAGUUGAAAAUCGCUGGAGUUGCCGCCGCUCUCCGCCGAGGGCACUGCAAUUCGUGUGGGCUCCUCCGACGUCUGGUACAGCAGUGACGCUCCUCCGACGUGUGGACUAUAUUUUUGUUUUAAAGAAUAUAUCCCUCUCGGCUCCAGUACAGUAUUUUCAUGCAUGCAUGGAUGUUCUUGCUAUCAUUUCCUCAUUUCUCUCGGGGACAUAAAAGAAUGACAUGUGAUUACCGUCC